rnacentral:rRNA from 1 species
UGGGGAAUAUUGGACAAUGGGCGCAAGCCUGAUCCAGCAAUGCCGCGUGUGUGAAGAAGGCCUUCGGGUUGUAAAGCACUUUUAUCAGGAGCGAAACGCUGUCGGCUAAUACCCGGCGGAACUGACGGUACCUGAGGAAUAAGCACCGGCUAACUUCGUGCCAGCAGUCGCGGUAAUACGAAGGGUGCAAGCGUUAAUCGGAAUUACUGGGCGUAAAGCGUGCGUAGGCGGUUUCUUAAGUCUGCUGUGAAAUCCCCGGGCUCAACCUGGGAAUGGCAGUGGAUACUGGGAGGCUAGAGUGUGUCAGAGGGUGGUGGAAUUCCCGGUGUAGCGGUGAAAUGCGUAGAGAUCGGGAGGAACAUCAGUGGCGAAGGCGGCCACCUGGGACAACACUGACGCUGAGGCACGAAAGCGUGGGGAGCAAACAGGAUUAGAUACCCUGGUAGUCCACGCCCUAAACGAUGCGAACUGGAUGUUGGUCUCAACUCGGAGAUCAGUGUCGAAGCUAACGCGUUAAGUUCGCCGCCUGGGGAGUACGGUCGCAAGACU